UACGUAGGGUGCGAGCGUUGUCCGGAAUUACUGGGCGUAAAGAGCUCGUAGGUGGUUUGUCGCGUUGUCCGUGAAAACUCACAGCUUAACUGUGGGCGUGCGGGCGAUACGGGCAGACUGGAGUACUGCAGGGGAGACUGGAAUUCCUGGUGUAGCGGUGGAAUGCGCAGAUAUCAGGAGGAACACCGAUGGCGAAGGCAGGUCUCUGGGCAUUAACUGACGCUGAGGAGCGAAAGCAUGGGGAGCGAACAGG
rnacentral:rRNA from 1 species